UACGAAGGGGGCUAGCGUUGCUCGGAAUCACUGGGCGUAAAGGGUGCGUAGGCGGCUCAACAAGUCAGGUGUGAAAGCCCCCGGCUCAACCGGGGAACUGCGCUUGAAACUGUUAGGCUCGAGUCAGCUAGAGGUACACGGAACUUCCAGUGGAGCGGUGAAAUGCGUAGAGAUCAGGAAGAACACCGGUGGCGAAAGCGCUCUGCUAGGCCGCAACUGACACUCAUGGACGAAAGCUAGGGGAGCGAAUGGG
rnacentral:rRNA from 1 species